CAUCUUUAGCGCUUUCCGUUCAGUGUCGCCGUUCUCACUUUUUUUUUUUUAAUAGAUUUUUAUAUGACACACAUAAUUACAGAAACUUUAGCGUUUUGUUAAAACUCUCGAGACCAUGGUUACUGAAAGAGUUAUUCUGGAUGUCGCACAAUUUCGCCUUUUAAAUAUACUGUUAUGAACUUAUAACGCUAGAAUUCGUUGCAUUUGUUAUUAUGGAUUUCUGCGGUAUGGCAAUACGUUUAACAUGACGUGACACUUGUGCUGUGUUGCUCUCCAAGGAAACCGAUGCUCAGAGAACCAGCACUAAUGUUCUACUACUACUUAUUGGAAAUUGUCAGAACAUGAUGGAUGUGGAUCAUCAUGCUUUGCAGAAGGCUGGGGAGAAGUUUGCAUUCAUUUUAUAAAAAGCUGCACGUAUGCAGGGAGCGAGAGAAGGACUUGGAACAAAAGUGGAUUCACCCGCUAGGCAGCAUAUGCCUCCACACUGCCAUUCCCUACAGGCCUACAGCACACAUCCAGUCAGAUCUGCCACUCUAUGCCCAAAAUAUAGCCCUUUGCUCUUGUUACCACAUACUGCAGACCUCUCAGUACAAAGAACGUACUCCAUUGUGUGCAAUAUGAAAGGACAAACGGUUAUUGUUGGCUCCCUAGUACUCAAAAGCUGAGGUUUUCAGUCAGUCACUAAAUGUGUUACUGGGUGAGUUAAAAAUAAACGUAAGGAUAAAAGGAAGC
ensembl:lncRNA